rnacentral:rRNA from 1 species
GCACCCGCGGUAAUUCCAGCUCCAAUAGCGUAUAUUAAAGUUGUUGCAGUUAGAACGCUCGUAGUCGGAUUUCGGGGCGGGCCGACCGGUCUGCCGAUGGGUACGCACUGGCCGGCGCGUCCUUCCUUCCGGAGACCGUGCCUACUCUUAACUGAGCGGGGGCGGGAGACGGAUCGUUUACUUUGAAAAAAUCAGAGUGUUUCAAGCAGGCAGCUCGCUCUUGCAUGGAUUAGCAUGGGAUAAUGAAAUAGGACUUUGGUGCUAUUUUGUUGGUUUCGAACACCGAAGUAAUGAUUAAAAGGGACAGUCAGGGGCACUCGUAUUCCGCCGAGAGAGGUGAAAUUCUCAGACCAGCGGAAGACGAACCACUGCGAAAGCAUUUGCCAGGGAUGUUUUCAUCGAUCAAGAACGAAAGU